GAUGAACGCUGGCGGCGUGCCUAAUACAUGCAAGUCGAGCGAACGGACGAGAAGCUUGCUUCUCUGAUGUUAGCGGCGGACGGGUGAGUAACACGUGUAUAACCUACCUAUAAGACUGGGAUAACUUCGGGAAACCGUAGCUAAUACCGGAUAAUAUUUUGAACCGCAUGGUUCAAAAGUGAAAGACGGUCUUGCUGUCACUUAUAGAUGGAUCCGCGCUGCAUUAGCUAGUUGGUACGGUAACGGCUUACGAAGGCAACGAUGCAUAGCCGACCGGAGAGGGUGAUCGGCCACCCUGGAACUGAGACACGGUCCAGACUCCUACGGGAGGCAGCAGUAGGGAAUCUUCGGCAAUGGGCGAAAGCCUGACGGAGCAACGCGGCGUGAGUGAUGAAGGUCUUCGGAGCGUAAAACUCUGUUAUUAGGGAAGAACAUAUGUGUAAGUAACUGUGCACAUCUUGACGGUACCGAAUCAGAAAGCAACGGCUAACUACGUG
rnacentral:rRNA from 1 species